rnacentral:rRNA from 1 species
UUUCAUCUUUGUUUCUUUUCCACCACAUAGUUAAUCACCCGUCAAAAGGUAAUGCAGAAUUGCGCAUAAGUUGUAAGAUCUACAGUUUUUCAGCCUCGCGCCUGACCAGUAUAAUUGAUAGCAAAGCGCAGAAGAGGAAGAUGCACGCGAAUAUGAGAAAGCAUGG